UACCAGCUCUCCGAGUGGUAGGGAUGAUUAUUGGGCUUAAAGCGUCCGUAGCCGGCUUAGCAAGUUUCCUGUUAAACCCAGCGACUCAAUCAUUGGAUCGCGGGAAAUACUACUAGGCUAGGAGGCGGGAGAGGUCAACGGUACUUCUGGGGUAGGGGUGAAAUCCUAUAAUCCCGGGAGGACCACCAGUGGCGAAGGCUGUUGACUAGAACGCGCUCGACGGUGAGGGACGAAAGCUGGGGGAGCGAACCGGAUUAGAUACCCGGGUAGUCCCAGCCGUAAACGAUGCGAGCUAGGUGUUGGGAUGGCUACGUGCCAUUUCAGUGCCGCAGGGAAGCCAUUAAGCUCGCCGCCUGGGGAGUACGGCCGCAAGGCUGAAACUUAAAGGAAUUGGCGGGGAGCACAGCAACGGGAGGAGCGUGCGGUUU
rnacentral:rRNA from 1 species